rnacentral:rRNA from 1 species
GACGUAGGGCGCGAGCGUUGUCCGGAUUUAUUGGGCGUAAAGAGCUCGUAGGCGGCUUGUCGCGUCGACUGUGAAAACCCGCGGCUCAACCGCGGCCUGCAGUCGAUACGGGCAGGCUAGAGUUCGGUAGGGGAGACUGGAAUUCCUGGUGUAGCGGUGAAAUGCGCAGAUAUCAGGAGGAACACCGAUGGCGAAGGCAGGUCUCUGGGCCGAUACUGACGCUGAGGAGCGAAAGCGUGGGGAGCGAACAGG